AGUCAUAUGCUUGUCUCAAAGACUAAGCCAUGCAUGUCUAAGUAUAAAUGAUAUACAGUGAAACUGCGAAUGGCUCAUUAAAACAGUUAUAGUUUAUUUGGUAAUCGAAUUUACAUGGAUAACCGUGGUAAUUCUAGAGCUAAUACAUGCUGUAAAGCCCGACUUCACGGAAGGGCCGUAUUUAUUAGAUAACAGACCAAUAUUCCUCGUGUCUAUUGUGAUGAAUCAUAGUAACUAAUCGGAUCGCAUGGGCUAGUCCCGCGACAAACCAUUCAAGUUUCUGCCCCAUCAGCUUUCGAUGGUAGUGUAUUGGACUACCAUGGCUUUUACGGGUAACGGAGGAUUAGGGUUCGAUUCCGGAGAGGGAGCCUGAGAAACGGCUACCACAUCUAAGGAAGGCAGCAGGCGCGUAAAUUACCCAAUCCUAAUUCAGGGAGGUAGUGACAAGAAAUAACGGGUCGGGGCUAUGCCCCGGGACUGCAAUGAGAUGAAUUUACACCCCUUUUCGAGUAACAAU
rnacentral:rRNA from 1 species